CAAGUCGAACGAACUCUGGUAUUGAUUGGUGCUUGCAUCAUGAUUUACAUUUGAGUGAGUGGCGAACUGGUGAGUAACACGUGGGAAACCUGCCCAGAAGCGGGGGAUAACACCUGGAAACAGAUGCUAAUACCGCAUAACAACUUGGACCGCAUGGUCCGAGUUUGAAAGAUGGCUUCGGCUAUCACUUUUGGAUGGUCCCGCGGCGUAUUAGCUAGAUGGUGGGGUAACGGCUCACCAUGGCAAUGAUACGUAGCCGACCUGAGAGGGUAAUCGGCCACAUUGGGACUGAGACACGGCCCAAACUCCUACGGGAGGCAGCAGUAGGGAAUCUUCCACAAUGGACGAAAGUCUGAUGGAGCAACGCCGCGUGAGUGAAGAAGGGUUUCGGCUCGUAAAACUCUGUUGUUAAAGAAGAACAUAUCUGAGAGUAACUGUUCAGGUAUUGACG
rnacentral:rRNA from 2 species